rnacentral:lncRNA from 1 species
GCUCCCCCUCGCUCCCCCCUCCCCUCGGGCUCCCCCGGCAGCGGGGAAGCAAGAUGGCGGCGAGCAGGGGGGGCGUUUUGGCUCGGCAGCGGCGGGUGAGGGCAGAGGCCGCCUGGAGUGAAGGACGUGGGGCCCCCGGUGAGGCGAACGCGGCGCCGGUUCGUUGGCAGCGUGGGCCGGGGCGUGCGCUCGCCCCUGCGGAGGCGGCACGGCGGAGCGGGGGGGCAGGCGGGCCCCGGAGCAGGGUUGUGUGGCGGCGUCGGCGGGAGGACGGCUCCUGUGGCAGCAGGCUCGGCCGAGAGUGCUGGGUAGUCCACCGAAGGGGGACAUCUUGA